UCCCAGGAAGCAAGCGCUGGGCUCCGGGGAAUGGCUGUGUCCUCGUGCCCUCUGAUCCAGAAGUAUUUCUCAGCUCUCCUUCCAAAGAUUUAAUGUUUUUAAUACUACAAAAUCCAAUGGCAUUAUUUGAGGGCUGCCUGUUCCUCCUUUGUGGCGGCAGGCUGACAGGAACAGGAUCUUUGGGUGAAACUGAUUGCCAGCACUCCAUCCUUUGCAGACAGUCUUAGAUGUUAGCUUUGCCCUGGAUAUCCUGGCUAACGGAAUGUGCUCUGGGGAAAAUUAACAGCUUGGGCAAGCACGGGCAAGUUACAGCUAUUCAGUGUCAGCCACUGGGGAAGCAGACUCAAUAGGAAGGAUGUGCCAUUUCCAUGCAGAACAUG